UGCAAAACAAAUAGCAAUUGCUAUACGUGGACUGGGGCUACAGAAAAGAAGGGACGGCUCCAAUUUCGCUUGUAUUUGUCUAGGGCAACAAAGAGAGAGAGAGGAGAACGGUGGCCGUCAAUCCAUUUCUCUUUCAGAUUUCAUUGUCUAAGUUUGUUGCUAAAAACCGAUUUGAUUUGGUUUUUCAUUGCAUCUUUGUGGGAGUUAAGCCAGAUACGGUUGACAGUUUAUUGAUCCUCCCCGUUCUGCUGUAGUAGGAAGAGGGUUGCUGGUAGCAUUAUAUAACUCUACAUAAUACGACACAUUGCAACUGGACCUGCACUAUAGAAAUGUGCCCUUGGUGUGUCUGCAAGGUUUCAUCAAUGUCUAAUGGAUCAGUGAAGUAUUAAGAUACAAGCUUUCUCAUUAAUCGGUGGCCCUUCAUGUCUACUGGAGAAAAAGAACGCUCUCCCUCUCUCUACGCUCUCUUUCAGUAUCCUUUCCUUGGCAGCCGAUCGCAACGACUUGGCCGACCAGCUCACGACCUCACCGUUGGCCGACUCCUUAUAUUAUGACUAGGACCUGAUUUGGCUGAUCAACCAAAUUAAUCAUGAAAUCAACCUCAAUUAAAUCAUUGAUAGACUGAAGCUCUAGAUAUUAUUGUUGUUGUUACUACUUGUCCUCUCUCGGCAGCCAUGGCUAUUGUUUCUAUAUGAGUAAUCCGCGCCGCCAUGAUUAAGCUUUCCAGAUUUGGGGUUUAUUUUCUUUGUAUGUGGUUGAUGGGUUUGCAGAUUUGUUGGUUAGCCUUGACAGUUUGAUUGUUUACAUUGAUUUGAGGAUAAUUUUCAUGUUAUGGUUCUUUUGGUGUUC